GUGAAUGCACGCUGGAAUGCGGGAGGUGAUUCCAUAUAUUUUUAAAAAUGGUUGUGGUUGCUAUUAAGUACUAAUGUUUGGAAGUGAGGGCCUUCCUCUGGGGAUUCAUCUAAAAUUCAGCCCAUACUGAGUCUAUAGCAAUAAUCACUUAACCUAAUGAUGUACAAGUACUAAUUGUAGUUUUCUUCCAAAUAGGUGCAGUGAAUCAGUACUGAGUAAAGGUAACAGCUGAGCACAAACAAUGUACUAAGGUAUCUGCAUGACUUUUUUCCAUUUAAUCAUCUCGACAAUGCUAGAGAAAGGUGCAACAGUUAGUCCAGAUUUCUAGAUGAGGGUAAGACCCCGAGAGGUUGUGUGACUUGCAUGAGAGCUGGUGCAUCCGGACGCGAACCGUUCAGUCUGUCUGACCACGUGCCUGCGCUUCACUGCGUUCGUUUCUCCCAUAGUGUGCGCAGAUUAUUACCUCCAUCUUCAUUGUCCUUGAAUGUUCCCAACUUUUUCUCUUUCCUGUUUUCUGCGACCAGUGCUCCUUCAUUAAUGGCUCUGAGUCACUGAAGAUAUGGUUUAGGUAAGGACUGCAGUCCCUUGUGAUUCACGGGGAACUGGCUCCGGGUUCUCCACAAAUACCCAAAGCUGAGGACGCUGCAGCCCCUUCUGUGAAAGCGUGAGGAGUCUUCGUAUAACCUAUGUACUUUCUCUGGACAGCUUUAAUCACUAGGUUACUCUGGAUACUUAAUACAAUGGAAGUGCUAUAUAAAUAUUAGUUAUGCUGUAGUACUUAGGGAUAAUUACAAGGAAAAAGUCGAUACAUGUUUAGAACAAAUGUAUUUUUUUUGAAUUUUUUUCUUUGUUGCAAAUUUUUUAUUUUUGCCAAGUUGCAGAGAGUGGUUACCUUUGUGAUGUUACUGUGAGUACAGACAGCCUCACACGUAAGGAGAGGCACCGGGGUAAAUUUCCACUUUCCUGACCCAGGGGAAUGCUUUCCACUGCAUAUAACAGGAAGCCCGUUCAAAUGGCCCCUUCACACUAUGCGGGUGGGGCGGCGCCUCCUGUGAUGUCACCGGGGAUGGGGCUCCUCCCACCUUUUCUCUACCCUUCCGAGUCCUCCCCGAGACAAGCCUUGUAUUGGCACACUUACAGUAUUCACCUAAGGAUGGGCUUGUCCGUCUUCAGAUAAUGGAAUAUGCUAAUUUAUGUGGAACUCUGGGAAGAAACAGAGUGAAACUGAGCAGGAAUUCUGCAGCAAUUUGUGCCACAAGCCCUGUAAGUUAGAAUUCAAUUCCUCUAUCAAUAUGAAAAAUUUCUAGAAGUUGAAAGCAUAUUUCUGAAGAGUUUACAUGUAAACCUGUGCUUCUUUGACGUGGUGGUAAGUUUCAAAACACUUAGAGGCUCCUUGUCCUUGUUUCAGCCUUGAAUAUGUCUUUUUAAAAAAUCCAUGCCAUGAGUAGUAGCUACUAAUAUGAACACUGACUAAGAGAAACAUUUUAGCUUAGUGUUAUUGCCACAUAAAAUUUAUGAAGUUUCCGCCAAAUAUAAUUCUUAUCUGGGUAGUAUAUACAUUGUGCUUAUGUUAACUUCCUGUGUUCCUAGGAGAUGAACAACGUAAGUAAUAGGAGACACUUCAAGCAAAGGUCCAAAGGUUUCAUGUAGGAGCCAGAAGUUUGCUUUUUUCCUGAGAUUCAAAGAGGGUUCCAGGGUCUCUUUCCGGGGAAUUUGUAAACUGCACUGAAUGUGGCAUUUUCCUAAUCAUGUCCUGGAGGUGGCCUUUCAAAUCACAUUCUUUAGUUUUAUUUUAAUUACCCAUUGAAAAACUGUGCAUUAAAUGUUUAUGUACCCGGGGCACAGCUAGACAAUCAAUACGAAUUCCUCCCUGAAUGAACACAAGUCCUGACCUCGCUAACCAUAACUCAGCCUAUGUCCUACGCUCACUUUGUGUUUAAGAAAUAGAAUGCAUACACACAUACGUAUGUCUGCAUACACACACCUUUUAAAAAUGGGAAAUAUAAAUACUGUCAAGAUUUUUAGUAACUUAAUAUUUAAAAAGUGUUUGUAGAAUUUUAUUUUUGAGACGUCCUGGCAGUACGUGAGUAACAGAGGUGAGACCUGUGCCAAGCGUUUCACUGCUGCGUCCACAGUGUGAUUACCUGCAGCACCCACGGGAGGAAGUGUGAAGGAAAUCCUGCAGGCUAACCCAGGUAUGACUGAAAAUGGCCUUUGCCUUUUGCAGUUCAAAUGCUACUUCAAGAUCUGCCAUAUAAAGACUCUAUUUCUGGAACAGAUCUCAUCAGAUCAUGUACUAGAACUCUAAUCAGUACAGUUCUCUACAGUGAGCCUUAAGCAAGCAAGUAAUGAAUCUGAAGUCUUUCUGUUCCUAACUAACUAAUCUUUCAGUUAGUUUUGUGUAAUCCAGUUAGCCACAAGCAGGAUCAAAAUGUAAAUGACAACUAGUCUAGGGUAAGUUUUCCAAAUUAUCAUGCUUCUUCUGGAUAUUUAAAAAUAAAAGCUACUUUAAGAAAUAGCCAUUUUAAGGCUGGGUAUCUAGCUCAGUGGCACAGAGCCUGCCUGGCAAGUGCAAGGUCCUGAGUUCAAUUCCUGACACCACAAGAAAAGAAAAGAAACAGCCAUUUUCAUCUGAAGAGGUAUUUGUCAAAGGAAGACAAAUGAAUGUCCAAAAGGCUUAUGAGUAAAUGUUCACCAUCACUAACACUCAGGGAAAUUCAA
ensembl:lincRNA